rnacentral:rRNA from 1 species
GGAGGAAUAUUGGUCAAUGGGGGAAACCCUGAACCAGCAACGCCGCGUGAAGGAAGAAGGCCCUCGGGUUGUAAACUUCUGUUUAAGGGGACGAAGAAAGUGACGGUACCCUUGGAGGAAGCUCCGGCAAACUACGUGCCAGCAGCCGCGGUAAUACGUAGGGAGCGAGCGUUGUCCGGAAUCACUGGGCGUAAAGGGCGCGUAGGCGGCCUUAAAAGUUGCAUGUGAAAUACCUGAGCUCAACUCAGGGGGGUCAUGCAAAACUUUAGGGCUUGAGUGCAGUAGAGGAAAGCGGAAUUCCUGGUGUAGCGGUAAAAUGCGUAGAGAUCAGGAGGAACACCGGUGGCGAAGGCGGCUUUCUGGGCUGUAACUGACGCUGAGGCGCGAAAGCGUGGGGAGCGAACA